CAGACUGAUGGCUUUCAACCUGCUGCAACAAAGAUAAGUAAAAAAAACACGGUUUCACCUGACUGACAACGACUUCCUGCCCAGGAGUGAACGUUCUCUCAGCAUCUGUCAGAAAGCAAACGUUGUUCCACUGCAUGCACAGAGUCCACUUUAUUCACCAGUUAAUUAAAAUGGUUCACUCUGCUGGUUGAUAUGUACUAUAAGGCUACAAACGUAUUUUUCUGGCUUUAUUAAACAGUAUUUUAGUA